rnacentral:rRNA from 1 species
UUAAGCGACUAAGCGUACACGGUGGAUGCCCUGGCAGUCAGAGGCGAUGAAGGACGUGCUAAUCUGCGAUAAGCGUCGGUAAGGUGAUAUGAACCGUUAUAACCGGCGAUUUCCGAAUGGGGAAACCCAGUGUGUUUCGACACACUAUCAUUAACUGAAUCCAUAGGUUAAUGAGGCGAACCGGGGGAACUGAAACAUCUAAGUACCCCGAGGAAAAGAAAUCAACCGAGAUUCCCCCAGUAGCGGCGAGCGAACGGGGAGGAGCCCAGAGCCUGAAUCAGUGUGUGUGUUAGUGGAAGCGUCUGGAAAGGCGCGCGAUACAGGGUGACAGCCCCGUACACAAAAAUGCACAUACUGUGAGCUCGAUGAGUAGGGCGGGACACGUGGUAUCCUGUCUGAAUAUGGGGGGACCAUCCUCCAAGGCUAAAUACUCCUGACUGACCGAUAGUGAACCAGUACCGUGAGGGAAAGGCGAAAAGAACCCCGGCGAGGGGAGUGAAAAAGAACCUGAAACCGUGUACGUACAAGCAGUGGGAGCCUCUUUUAUGGGGUGACUGCGUACCUUUUGUAUAAUGGGUCAGCGACUUAUAUUCUGUAGCAAGGUUAACCGAAUAGGGGAGCCGAAGGGAAACCGAGUCUUAACUGGGCGUUAAGUUGCAGGGUAUAGACCCGAAACCCGGUGAUCUAGCCAUGGGCAGGUUGAAGGUUGGGUAACACUAACUGGAGGACCGAACCGACUAAUGUUGAAAAAUUAGCGGAUGACUUGUGGCUGGGGGUGAAAGGCCAAUCAAACCGGGAGAUAGCUGGUUCUCCCCGAAAGCUAUUUAGGUAGCGCCUCGUGAAUUCAUCUCCGGGGGUAGAGCACUGUUUCGGCAAGGGGGUCAUCCCGACUUACCAACCCGAUGCAAACUGCGAAUACCGGAGAAUGUUAUCACGGGAGACACACGGCGGGUGCUAACGUCCGUCGUGAAGAGGGAAACAACCCAGACCGCCAGCUAAGGUCCCAAAGUCAUGGUUAAGUGGGAAACGAUGUGGGAAGGCCCAGACAGCCAGGAUGUUGGCUUAGAAGCAGCCAUCAUUUAAAGAAAGCGUAAUAGCUCACUGGUCGAGUCGGCCUGCGCGGAAGAUGUAACGGGGCUAAACCAUGCACCGAAGCUGCGGCAGCGACGCUUAUGCGUUGUUGGGUAGGGGAGCGUUCUGUAAGCCUGUGAAGGUGUGCUGUGAGGCAUGCUGGAGGUAUCAGAAGUGCGAAUGCUGACAUAAGUAACGAUAAAGCGGGUGAAAAGCCCGCUCGCCGGAAGACCAAGGGUUCCUGUCCAACGUUAAUCGGGGCAGGGUGAGUCGACCCCUAAGGCGAGGCCGAAAGGCGUAGUCGAUGGGAAACAGGUUAAUAUUCCUGUACUUGGUGUUACUGCGAAGGGGGGACGGAGAAGGCUAUGUUGGCCGGGCGACGGUUGUCCCGGUUUAAGCGUGUAGGCUGGUUUUCCAGGCAAAUCCGGAAAAUCAAGGCUGAGGCGUGAUGACGAGGCACUACGGUGCUGAAGCAACAAAUGCCCUGCUUCCAGGAAAAGCCUCUAAGCAUCAGGUAACAUCAAAUCGUACCCCAAACCGACACAGGUGGUCAGGUAGAGAAUACCAAGGCGCUUGAGAGAACUCGGGUGAAGGAACUAGGCAAAAUGGUGCCGUAACUUCGGGAGAAGGCACGCUGAUAUGUAGGUGAAGUCCCUCGCGGAUGGAGCUGAAAUCAGUCGAAGAUACCAGCUGGCUGCAACUGUUUAUUAAAAACACAGCACUGUGCAAACACGAAAGUGGACGUAUACGGUGUGACGCCUGCCCGGUGCCGGAAGGUUAAUUGAUGGGGUCAGCGCAAGCGAAGCUCUUGAUCGAAGCCCCGGUAAACGGCGGCCGUAACUAUAACGGUCCUAAGGUAGCGAAAUUCCUUGUCGGGUAAGUUCCGACCUGC